rnacentral:sRNA from 1 species
UCGUAAGCACCUGAAAUCUUAGAGCGGGUUUGGAG